AGCAUUAUGUCUGAUUAAAGUAAUAAAUUGUAAAUUUAUUUAAGAAAAAAAAAAUUCUAAUGCUA
rnacentral:tRNA from 1 species